rnacentral:rRNA from 1 species
UGUACACGCUGUGACUAGCAUAUCAAUAAGCGGAGGAAAAGAAACUAACAAGGAUUCCCCUAGUAACGGCGAGUGAAGCGGGAAGAGCUCAAAUUUGAAAUCUUAAAGGGUUUCCCUUUACGAAUUGUAGUUUAAAGAAGUGUUUUCUGUUGAGGUUUUGGUAAAAGUUCUUUGGAAUAGGACAUCAUAGAGGGUGAGAAUCCCGUAUUUGACCUUUACUUUCAACUUUGUGAUACACUUUCAAAGAGUCGGAUUGUUUGGGAAUGCAGUCCAAAAUGGGUGGUAAAUUUCAUCUAAAGCUAAAUAUUGGCGAGAGACCGAUAGCGAACAAGUACCGUGAGGGAAAGAUGAAAAGAACUUUGAAAAGAGAGUUAAACAGUACGUGAAAUUGUCAAGAGGGAAGCGUUUGACACCAGUGUUGUUUUCUGAAAAUCAAUUAAAGAACUGUUUAUGCUAAGUUGUUUAGACUUUAUCAGCCUAUCUGUUAUAGUUUUGAGCUUUUCCUUAAUGCACUUUUCAGUUAACAAGUCAACAUCAAUUUCUUUUGCUGUAAAAAAGCUUGAGGAAGGUGGCUUGAGAUUCGUCUUAAGUGUUUAUAGCCUCUUGCCUAUGCAGUCGGAGAGAUUGAGGUCUGCAGCGUAGAUCCUUCGGGGCUAAAUGCAUUUGUGCUAAGUUAUAACAUUUUAUAGACAACUUGUUGACUAUGAUUUGUCUUGUAGCUUACUCGCUUAUGUUAUUUUACCUACGCUUAGGAUGUUGACGAGACUGUCGAUCUC